rnacentral:tRNA from 1 species
GGGUGCUUAGCUCAGCUGGUAGAGCGGCGCCCUUACAAGGCGUAGGUUGGGGGUUCGAACCCCUCAGCACCCACCA